UACAGAGGGUGCGAGCGUUGUCCGGAAUCACUGGGCGUAAAGGGCGCGUAGGCGGCUUGAUAAGGUUGCGGUGAAAGCCCGGGGCUCAACCCCGGGUCGGCCGUGGCAACUGUCGAGCUGGAGCACUGUAGAGGCAGGUGGAAUUCCGGGUGUAGCGGUGGAAUGCGUAGAGAUCCGGAAGAACACCGGUGGCGAAGGCGGCCUGCUGGGCUGCACCUGACGCUGAGCCGCGAAAGCCAGGGGAGCGAACGGG
rnacentral:rRNA from 1 species